GCUUACGACCAUACCACGUUGAAAGCACGCCAUCUCGUCCGAUCUGGCAAGUUAAGCAACGUUGGGCCUGCUUGAUCUCGCCAAAUGGCCGACGCCAAACUGUCCUGAUCC
rfam:Globodera pallida, Lindley, WGS project CBXT01000000 data, contig: pathogens_Gpal_scaffold_754_contig_5